GGGGGUGUUCCGGAUUCGACCCCUGGUUGGCGCGCACGGCUGCCCUUCGAGAGUGAGGGUCUCUCGUUAAAUCACCUUCAAACAAAAAUAAACGGCACUUACGAAGAAAUGCCCCUGGCUGCCUAAGUAGCAGCCUCGUUCGCGCACUGACACCUGCUAGGUGAUGCGGACGUCGACAGCAGGCAUGGUGGACCGGGCUAUCUGCGGCCGGUUUGCCCUCUCUUCAAUCCGUGGAUUAGUCGACACUUAAGCGCGUGCAGUCGCGUAAUGCCGGCGAGAUAAAUACGGCACUAUGAGGGUAGAUGCUUUGCGCAAAGGUCAGGGGCACGCGGGUUCAAUUCCCGCCACCUCCACCA
rnacentral:tmRNA from 1 species